AAGCGGCAAGAGCUCAAAUUUGAAAUCUGGAGCCUUCCGCUUCCGAGUUGUAAUUUGAAGAGGAUGUUUCGGUUGCGGCCUGGGCCUAAGUUCCUUGGAACAGGACGUCAUGGAGGGUGAGAAUCCCGUACAUGGCUGCAGGCUUGCUUCCAUGUGAAGCUCCUUCGAAGAGUCGAGUUGUUUGGGAAUGCAGCUCAAAAUGGGUGGUAAAUUUCAUCUAAAGCUAAAUAUUGGCGGGAGACCGAUAGCGCACAAGUAGAGUGAUCGAAAGAUGAAAAGCACUUUGAAAAGAGAGUUAAACAGUACGUGAAAUUGUUGAAAGGGAAGCGCUUGCAAUCAGACUCGCAAACGGUUGAUCAACGUUCCUUUUGGUUCGUGCACUCUGCCGUUGGCGGGCCAGCAUCAGUUGAGGCGGUGGGACAAAGGUAGCGGGAAUGUGGCUCCCUCGCGGGAGUGUUAUAGCCCGUUGCGCCAUGCCGCCAGCUUCGACUGAGGUCCGCGAUUUAUCUAGGAUGCUGGCUUAAUGGUUGUAAGCGACCCGUCUUGAAACACGGACCAAGGAGUCUAACAUCUAUGCGAGUCUUUGGGUGUCAAACCCAUGGGCGGAAUGAAAGUGAACGGAGGUGGGAGUCCUCGGAUGCACCAUCGACCGAUCCUGAUGUCUUCGGAUGGAUUUGAGUAUGAGCAUAGCUGUUGGGACCCGAAAGAUGGUGAACUAUGCCUGAAUAGGGUGAAGCCAGAGGAAACUCUGGUGGAGGCUCGCAGCGGUUCUGACGUGCAAAUCGAUCGUCAAAUUUGGGUAUAGGGGCGAAAGACUAAUCGAACCAUCUAGUAGCU
rnacentral:rRNA from 1 species